UCCUAUUAUAUCUCCACCCAACAAUUUACUACCCAUGAAAUCAAGAAUUUAUGUUGCACAUGUCAUGUGACAACCGACACCCACACCACCGACACCCCCACCGACGCUGACACAAGACGACCGAGAUUACCGUUGGCGGGCUACCGGCGAAGAUACCGGCGAUAACCAUGUUGACGUGCUUGCAGAUAUCCAAACACCCAUGUCUUCUACAGUUCUGAACCGUACAAGUUGAAAUAUAUGAGAUUCUGACCGGCGCACCAACUGUUCGAUAAAAUGCGUCAUCGAAUUUUAAUGGAAGAUUGAAAUUCUCUAAUUUGAGUAAUCUACUUGGAUUGGUGAGUUGUGACAUUAACGCAAUGAAUAGAAAUUUAGUACUGAAUACUGCUACCGGACCGAACUGUAUGGUACCCAUACCAGUACACGUACCGUUU